ensembl:lncRNA
UAGGCUCAGUCCUGAAUGGGUAUUUGUCACUGCAGUCACGGUAAGAACUUGUCAGACUGGAUUUCUGCAGCAAUGUGAAGGGGAGUAAUCCAAAGUGUUCCCUGGGUCUGAGGGUGAAUACAUUUGGAAUGUAUAUGACUUACGGUGAGAUAUUGCUAAGGUAGUUCUAGUCACAGAGCAGGAAAGCUUGUUUACAGAGAAAAACAAGCUUUAAUUGUCUUCAGCCGUGAGAAUCUGGUGUUACUCACUGGCUAAACUUAAUGUAUUUCUUCUCUGUCACCUACUGAAGGUGUGAUCUGUCCCAUGAAACCGCUGCACAUCCUUAUGCCGAUGUCCUCGGAGAACCCUUGGACUCAGAGCACUCAUUUUCUGUCUUCAGUUUAGACUGAAUUUGUCAGAAUGCUGUUGGAGCGUACUGAGUGGUAACAAAACUCCAGGAAAGAAGGCAGUUCGGAAAUCAAAGUGUAAAUGGACAGCAGAAAACUGCCCCUAUCUGAGCAACAACUCAGGAGUGGCAGAAAGACCUCGGACAGGGUGAGCAGCCCACAUCCUUGCUCCCAAGUGGAAGUUGUGUAUGCGAACACCCUACAGCUGGGAAAACCCUUGGGAACAGGAGGAGAGGAGCUCCGAGACAAAGGAACGUCUGAGAAAAUGAAAUUCUCGGUGUCGCCGAUGAAAGCACUCCGCCUUGCUUUAAGGCUGGGAUGGAAAUGGGGACACACGGGGAGAACGGCCGCUGUGCUGGUACGGUGAUGUCCCAUUGGCAUCGGCACUGCUCCCUGCGCACGGUGCUGGGGUGGGAGUCCCCUAUAGGGCACACUGUGAGGGAACCCUGACCCCGGGGGCAGCUCCUGUCCGGCCCCACAGAGGUGGAUGAGCUGGGAUCCGCGUCCUGGGAGGAGCUCUGAUGCCUCUGAGAACAUUCGGGAGAGCUCCUGAUUUUAAUUGGUUUUCCUUAAUUAUUAUUUACUUUGACUGAAGAAACUGUUGUGUUUAAAUAACGCUGUUUUUUUGCCAAAAUGCUG